CACAACUCAAGACUCUCAGCUUCACUGCGUCUUUGUGGAGAAAGUAAUUGAAAAGUUCUGGAGGUUCAAGGAUAUGGCACUGGCAUCAGCACUGAUUCUACUCUGAGUUCCAUAAGACAAAGUGUUUACCUCUGUUUUAUCUUAAUGGUGAAGAAAAAGAGACUGAGAAAGGCUGGAUAACUUGCACAAAGUCACACAGCUCUAAUGAGUCAGGCUGAGGGUUCAAUUCAUGUCUGACUUCAAGUCCAGUACCCUUCCCAUUGCAUUAUGACUGUUGUGAGUCUCAGACAGAUUGGCUUGUUGACUAGAGAAAUACAAGUUUUAUGGAAGAAUACUGUGUUACAGUCCUCCUUUCUCGUUUACCAGGCGGCGGACGUGGCUGUUGGCCGACUGGAUCAUGGAGUAGAAGUUGUUGGCACUGCGACGGUUCACUUCUCCUCGCUCUAUCCAGGGUCACAGCCUGCCUUGCAUUCCCCAUGAAAGGGGACAGUUAAAGACCCAGAGUCAUGGAUCCCACCAUGUUGUGGAAAAGUGGAGAAAACCUGUUUCUUUUUAGUCAUCUGAUGUCUGGAGAGAAAAACGCUAUCCUUUGAACAGAUUCAAAGGGGGAAAGGACAAAGCUCCUGGCUCUUUUUCACUAGGUAUAACUCUCCCUCUGCAAUGCUCCACAAGAAGUGCUUAGAAUAUGUUAGUGGGAAAUUCAAAGAGUAACUUCACAACACAAUUAUAUUUAUUAAGUUUCCCUAAAGAAAAGAGGUUUUUGUUUUUCAUUGUGAAGCUUGAGCUUCUUCUGUACCUUUUAAUUUUUCGGCAACAAUACUGCAUUCAUGAUCUGAAUAGUGGACCACUGGGGGUGGGGAUGGUGGACGCAGUCUUUCUUCUUCCAUCCUUCUCCGGUGGCGCUCCUCUCUCGCUAGCAUCCGCUGUUUACACUCCCACUCAUACAGGUCAUCACGAGCCUGUGCAAAAUCAACAUGGAGCCGGCCUGUGUCUUUCUUGUCUGUACUGGAGCCCAGGCGGAUGCGGUAACCUAAAUUCA